GUCUCGGUAGUGUAAGGUAUAAGAGCACUGUACCUGGAAAGGACAAGUAUGGGUUCGAGUCCCGUCCGAGACU
rnacentral:tRNA from 1 species